rnacentral:rRNA from 1 species
GAUGAACGCUGGCGGCGUGCCUAAUACAUGCAAGUCGAGCGAACAGACGAGGAGCUUGCUCCUCUGACGUUAGCGGCGGACGGGUGGGUAACACGUGGAUAACCUACCUAUAAGACUGGGAUAACUUCGGGAAACCGGAGCUAAUACCGGAUAAUAUAUUGAACCGCAUGGUUCAAUAGUGAAAGACGGUUUUGCUGUCACUUAUAGAUGGAUCCGCGCCGCAUUAGCUAGUUGGUAAGGUAACGGCUUACCAAGGCGACGAUGCGUAGCCGACCUGAGAGGGUGAUCGGCCACACUGGAACUGAGACACGGUCCAGACUCCUACGGGAGGCAGCAGUAGGGAAUCUUCCGCAAUGGGCGAAAGCCUGACGGAGCAACGCCGCGUAAGUGAUGAAGGUCUUCGGAUCGUAAAACUCUGUUAUUAGGGAAGAACAAAUGUGUAAGUAACUAUGCACGUCUUGACGGUACCUAAUCAGAAAGCCACGGCUAACUACGUG